rnacentral:rRNA from 1 species
CGGAGGGGCGUAGCGUUGUUCGGAAUUACUGGGCGUAAAGCGCGCGUAGGCGGCCAUUUAAGUCAGAGGUGAAAGCCCGGUGCUCAACAUCGGAAUAGCCUUUGAGACUGGGUGGCUAGAAUCCAGGAGAGGUGAGUGGAAUUCCGAGUGUAGAGGUGAAAUUCGUAGAUAUUCGGAAGAACACCAGUGGCGAAGGCGGCUCACUGGACUGGUAUUGACGCUGAGGUGCGAAAGCGUGGGGGAGGCAAACAGGAUU